GUGCUUAACACAUGCAAGUCGAACGGUAAGGCCCUUCGGGGUACACGAGUGGCGAACGGGUGAGUAACACGUGGGUGAUCUGCCCUGCACUUUGGGAUAAGCCUGGGAAACUGGGUCUAAUACCGAAUAUGAUCAUGCUCUUCAUGGGGUGUGGUGGAAAGCUUUUGCGGUGUGGGAUGGGCCCGCGGCCUAUCAGCUUGUUGGUGGGGUAAUGGCCUACCAAGGCGACGACGGGUAGCCGGCCUGAGAGGGUGUCCGGCCACACUGGGACUGAGAUACGGCCCAGACUCCUACGGGAGGCAGCAGUGGGGAAUAUUGCACAAUGGGCGCAAGCCUGAUGCAGCGACGCCGCGUGAGGGAUGACGGCCUUCGGGUUGUAAACCUCUUUCAGCAGGGACGAAGCGCAAGUGACGGUACCUGUAGAAGAAGCACCGGCCAACUACGUGCCAGCAGCCGCGGUAAUACGUAGGGUGCGAGCGUUGUCCGGAAUUACUGGGCGUAAAGAGCUCGUAGGUGGUUUGUCGCGUUGUUCGUGAAAUC
rnacentral:rRNA from 1 species